rnacentral:rRNA from 1 species
UACGAAGGGGGCUAGCGUUGCUCGGAAUUACUGGGCGUAAAGGGCGCGUAGGCGAUUUGAAAAGUCUUGUGUGAAAGCCCCGAGCUUAACUCGGGAAGUGCACAAGAAACUGUUGAAUUUGAGUUCCGGAGAGGAAGGCAGAAUUCCCGGUGUAGCGGUGAAAUGCGUAGAUAGUCGGGAGGAAUACCAGUGGCGAAGGCAGCUCGCUGGGACGGUACUGACGCUGAGGCGCGAAAGCGUGGGGAGCAACAGG